UACGUAGGGGGCGAGCGUUACCCGGAUUUACUGGGCGUAAAGGGUGUGUAGGUGGCGCCGUAAGUCGGGUGUGAAAUUUCGGAGCUUAACUCCGAAACUGCAUUCGAUACUGCGGUGCUUGAGGACUGGAGAGGAGACUGGAAUUCAUGGUGUAGCAGUGAAAUGCGUAGAGAUCAUGAGGAAGACCAGUGGCGAAGGCGGGUCUCUGGACAGUUCCUGACACUGAGACACGAAGGCCAGGGGAGCAAACGGG
rnacentral:rRNA from 1 species